UGUGGCAGACUGCCACAGUUACUACUUGAGACCAUCACCACGACGGUUACUACUGUUACUACUUGAGACCCUCAUUACGUCAUUAAGAGACUGAACAAAAGGACGAAUGUAGAAAUGAAAACAUGCUGAGUCUACAUGGAUUAGAAGAGAGACGCUCACUUCAUCCAGGACACAAAGAGAGCAAGCUUGCAGAGCACUUGCCCAGGCCUGCAUCCGCCUUCCCUGCCUUCCCUCGGAUGGGGCUGGGUGAUUGCAGCGGCCUUCACCACAUUGGGUAGAAGCAGGGAGACAUGCAAAUUAGAAAACCAGGAGAUCGUCACAGCAGAUCAGUUUUCAAAAUCUGGGCUGGACAUAAACUGGAGUACUUCUAAUCUGAUCAGGACACCUGGGGCUGUGGCAGGAAGCAAAUUCUAUUUUUCAAAAGACAGGAGAAUUGCUCUGAGUAUCGUGAUGGCUCGCAUCAUCUUUUCCACCAAAAUUCCAAGACGCCUUAGCGUUGCUGGAUAUGUAUUGUAAGCCCUACAGCCUUCAUCUCAUCCAGACACUCGAGAUAAAGAAAUGUUAGCCGGAGUUUAAACCAUAAGAACAGAUAUGACUGAAAUGGACCUCAUUUCACCGGAGAUUCCCAAGUCAGAUUCACAAACACAUGGGGCGUCCUGGUGGAUAAACCUUUCCCCGGAAGACACAUUUGUGAAGAGUCUUGGCCCCCAGUGUUGAGACUGAUUCGGCGUCCUGAAAUAACAACCCGCUGCCGAGGCACUCCACUCGGAAGGGCGUGAGAGCCUGACCUCUGAGGCUGAAAUUACAGACCACCCUGUCAGGAUGCACGGAGCAUGUCGAAGAGGACGAGGCUGGUGCCCGACAGUUGACGCAGCCCGCCUGUUGGCCACAGGGAGCCACUGAAGGCAGAUCUCACGUCACGAUCAGUGGCCUCUGCACGUCUCUGUGAGGCUGGGGAAAUGUCAGGGACUGAGGGACUCCCACUUCAUCUGCAAGGGGAACAGGGAAAGGCCAUCAGUACCUUCACAAGAACAGAAAAGCUUCCAAAGCAAACUGGAGCAUGUCACUUGGUGCGACGCACAUGCCGCACGGCCAGCCACCGCCACUCCCCAAUUUCUCCUUUGCUGGGAAAGCCCUAGUUUUGUCAUGGUGUCCACACAUCUCCUCUAAGGCUCAGAGGCAAACCUCAGCAUUUUCAGCCAGUUCUAAUGGCUCCAUUCCCCCAGGCAGUGAUUUAUCUAGGGACGUGGUUGUGCCCAUUUCUGGCCAUAUGCAAAAUAAGAGGGAAUGGGGAGGGAGUUCUAAGAAAUGUUUUCUGGUUUAUAAAGAGUUAGGAGGCUGGGCAUGGUGGCUCACGCCUGUAAUCCCAGCACUUUUGGAGGCCGAGGCGGGCAGAUCACGAGGCAAGAGAUCCAGACCAUCCCGGCCAACAUGGUGAAACCCCGUCUCUACUAAAAAUACAAAAAUUAGCUGGGCGUGGUGGUGCGCGCCUGUAGUCCCAGCUACUCGGGAGGCUGAGGCAGGGGAAUCGCCUGAACCUGGGAGGCGGAGGUUGCAGUGGGCCACGAUAGUGCCAUUGCACUCCAGCCUGGACAACAAGAGCGAAACUCUGUCUCAAAAAAAAAAAAAAAGAAAGAAAGAAAGAAAAAGAAAUAUUAAGCGAUUCCACAUUGAAUUCCUAAUACAAAAUAAAAGAGAAAAAAAUACUAGGCAAUAUGAGAGUAAAAAGCAACAACCAUUUGUAUUACAUAUAUUAUUUAUCUUAUGGAAAUGGUCCUGCAAGUUAGAUAUUAAUUUCUUUGGUUUCUAUCUGAACAAACUCAAGUUCAAAGCAAUUAAGCAAUGCUCCCAAUCUCACCCAGCCUAAGCUCAUCUCUUUCCACUGUAGGCUCGUGCAGAUAUUUAGGUGGAGAGGAAACUGCACCACAAGUAAGACCUAAAACAGGCUUAUCAUUUGUUUUCCUUCUGGCAACAGGAAAAAGAAAAUCUGUCCAGAUUUCCAAAUCUGUCCUCUGAAUGGGUCUGUGCAAACAUCAGGACCUAAAAUAGAUCUUCCAAUAAAUAGCACAAAGUAGGGGGGACAGGAGGAAGAAGUACACCGGCCAUAUAAAAUAAUACUGUCCUCUGUUCCAGGAGCAUUACAUAUAUCAUGUCAUCUCCAUCAAAGCAGGCAUUAUGAUGUUCAUUUUCUAAAUAAGGAAAUGAGAAAGUUAAUUCAUUUCCCUAAGGUCACAGAGCUCUGAGUAACUGAACUGGAUUGGAAGCCCUCUCUGUGUGAGGCCAAGGCCUGAGCUGCUUUUCCCUUAAUUGCAGGGUACAUGUGUGAGUGUGCAUACAUAUGCACAUGUGUGAGUGUGCAUACAUAUGCACGUGUGUGUGUGUGCACUUGUGUGCAUAUGCGUGUACGGUUCCAAUUUUAUGAGUUUGUAAACUUUCUGUAUCAAGUAGAAUAUACCCAUCUGUCAGAGUAAGACAGGAGUAAAAAUUGAAUUAAAUGAAAAGUAGGACUGCUAAGCAGGAGACCAAAUUCUCAGCACCAAAUCUCAGGCCCAACACAGGCACCUCCCACCUACCACUGCCCACUCUGGGGCAGCCCAGAAACCCUGAGUUCAUCAGGACAGACCCUGGGAGACAGAGCACAGAACUGUAACCUGGGCUGGCGGAAACAACUCCUCCUCUGCCGAUCCCCCAGCAAGGAGCCGGCUGCCCUCACCCCCACUUGCAUUAGCUAACUUUUUCAAAAAUGAAUCAGAGUUUCAGAUGAAGCUCCAUAAAACCGUGGGCUGCUCUGAGACUGCAAAUUGCUAGCAGAUGUCUUUUUGGUUCGAGUACAGUCACAUUCCUGCCAAGCAUAAAAAUGAGAGGUUAGAGAACAGAUCAUUUUAUUAUCACAUAAGGAAAACCAGCCAAUUAAGCCUUCAUGUUUUUCAGGUAUAUGUGGCAUGGAUUUUGAAAUCUCCUUGCAAAAGGACCAUAUCUUUGAUAGCUAAAAAAGGCCUUGGCUCUUCAAGGUGAAGUCCUUUGCAUCUGAAUUUUAUUCAUUUGAAAACACAAAAUAGGGUGUGUAUUUCUUUCUUUCUUUUUUUUGAGACAAAGUCUCGCUCUGUCGCCCAGGCUGGAGUGCAGUGGCUCGAUCUCGGCUCACUGCAGCAUCCACCUCCUGAGUUCAAGCGGUUCUCCUGCCUCAGCUUCCCUAGUAGCUGGGACUACAGGCAUCUGCCACCGUGCCCGGCUAAUUAUUUUCAGUAGAGACAGGGUCUCACCAUGUUGGCCAGGCUGAUCGUGAACUCCCAACCUCAGGUCAUCUGCCCCUACCUUGGCCUCCCAAAGUGCUGGGAUUACAGGGGUGAGCCACCACUCCCAGCCAAGGGUGUGUGUUUCUACAUUUAUUACCUAUCAGGGCAGAGUGAUUUUCUUUUAAGCUUUAUUUAAACAUGCUACAGGCCACUCUAACAUACUUUAUUAUUAAAAUUUCAUCAGAGCCUGAACCAUUUUCUUAUUUGUUCUUGUUCUAUAAUCAUAUGUAACAAAUUAUAGGAUUUCAGCUGAAAGGUGAUGUGUGUGUAUAUAUGUAUAUGCUAUAAUUUUUCUUUUUGUGGGUGGUGGGUGGGGCUUUAUGGUGCAUAUUUUUACUUAUCAAGCUUAGAGUGUGUUUGUCACAAAAUUUCCAUUUUAAGAGUACUUACUAGUCUGAUUAAACACUUGUAAAAAUGUCAAUGGUCAAUAACCUUUUAAAUGAAUCAGCUGAGCUUGACUAGGAUGAGCUUAAUUUAGCAAUUAGCCUGGCCAAAUUGUCUGUUAUUAUACAAGAAAAGUUUAUAAUAAAGUACAUGCCUCAGUAUAAUAACUUUUGCCAGGCACAGUAAAUCAAAAACCAUACGUCUGCUGAGUCAGCUCCAACUGCAGGGACGGCAGCUAAAAAUGUCUCUGACUUACAAUGAAAUUUGUAUCCUCAAUGUUUAACAUUAAAC
rnacentral:lncRNA from 1 species